AAUAGAUACCCGGGUAGUCCACGCUGUAAACGUUGGGCGCUAGGUGUGGGGGGCCUCUCCGGUUCUCUGUGCCGCAGCUAACGCAUUAAGCGCCCCGCCUGGGGAGUACGGCCGCAAGGCUAAAACUCAAAGGAAUUGACGGGGGGCCCGCACAAGCGGCGGAGCAUGCGGAUUAAUUCGAUGCAACGCGAAGAACCUUACCUGGGUUUGACAUGGCCGCAAAACCCGGCAGAGAUGUCGGGUCCUUCGGGGGCGGUCACAGGUGGUGCAUGGCUGUCGUCAGCUCGUGUCGUGAGAUGUUGGGUUAAGUCCCGCAACGAGCGCAACCCUCGUUCGAUGUUGCCAGCGGUUCGGCCGGGGACUCAUCGAAGACUGCCGGGGUCAACUCGGAGGAAGGUGGGGAUGACGUCAAGUCAUCAUGCCCCUUAUGUCCAGGGCUUCACGCAUGCUACAAUGGCCGGUACAAUGGGCUGCGAUACCGUGAGGUGGAGCGAAUCCCAAAAAGCCGGUCUCAGUUCGGAUCGGGGUCUGCAACUCGA
rnacentral:rRNA from 1 species